CAGCCGCCGCGGGAAUACGAAGGGUGCAAGCGUUAAUCGGAAUUACUGGGCGUAAAGCGUGCGUAGGCGGUGAGUUAAGUCUGCUGUGAAAUCCCCGGGCUCAACCUGGGAAUGGCAGUGGAUACUGGCUCGCUAGAGUGUGUCAGAGGAUGGUGGAAUUCCCGGUGCAGCGGUGAAAUGCGUAGAGAUCGGGAGGAACAUCAGUGGCGAAGGCGGCCAUCUGGGACAACACUGACGCUGAGGCACGAAAGCGUGGGGAGCAAACAGGAUUAGAUACCCCUGUAGUCCCUGUCUCUUAUAU
rnacentral:rRNA from 1 species